GACGAACGCUGGCGGCGUGCUUAACACAUGCAAGUCGAACGGUGAAGCGCCUUCCUUUUUGGUGGGUGUGGAUGAGUGGUGAACGGGUGAGUAACACGUGAGUAACCUGCCCCCUUCUUCUGGAUAACCGCAUGAAAGUGUGGCUAAUACGGGAUAUUCUGGGUCUGUCGCAUGAUGGGUCUGGGAAAGAUAUUGUUUCGGUGGGGGAUGGGCUCGCGGCCUAUCAGCUUGUUGGUGGGGUGAUGGCCUACCAAGGCGGUGACGGGUAGCCGGCCUGAGAGGGUGGACGGUCACACUGGGACUGAGACACGGCCCAGACUCCUACGGGAGGCAGCAGUGGGGAAUAUUGCACAAUGGGCGCAAGCCUGAUGCAGCGACGCCGCGUGAGGGAUGGAGGCCUUCGGGUUGUGAACCUCUUUCGCCAGUGAAGCAGGCCUGCCUCGUUUGUGGGUGGGUUGACGGUAGCUGGAGAAGAAGCGCCGGCUAACUACGUG
rnacentral:rRNA from 1 species